ACAAAAAGAGGUUUAGCAGUUAGCAUUUUUCCCCAUGUGUCUUAGUCACAAGCAAUCAGUGCACUACUGUGUAUAGGCAGGUCUACAAGGUCUCUUGAACUCACUCACACUUGAGUAAAAUCUGCCUAUGAUUUGUCCAAGCUUGCAAAAGCUAUGUAGCCAUGGUCAGCUUGCCUGAGCUUAAUACCCUGCUUUCUGAACUAAUUUUGUUAGGACUGAUUUAGGAUUGUGUUAACACAGCUGUUUCAGUUUGCAUCAGAGACAGACCUGACAUGAGUCAGCCCAAGAAGGUCAAAUAGUUGUACUUGUGAGGAUGUGGUUGCAGGUACUUUCAGGAGAAGAGCACCAAAACAACUUGUCUCUGUGUGCACAUACGUUCCAGAGGACAAAGGAUUCUGUACCAGAAAUAGAACUGCAGAUGGAAAUGGCCUACGAGGGUGAUAACUCUUCUGUCUGUGCCAUCAGAAGUGCUUGCUGCUUCUCUCCUGUAUCCUGUAGUCCAAGAAGCGUGCGGAGAGUUACCUCUACACAGAGAUGCUGCUAA
rnacentral:lncRNA from 1 species